rnacentral:rRNA from 1 species
UACGAAGGGGGCUAGCGUUGUUCGGAAUUACUGGGCGUAAAGCGUGCGCAGGCGGCUUCUCAAGUCAGGGGUGAAAGCCCAGAGCUCAACUCUGGAACUGCCUUUGAGACUGAGAGGCUUGAGUACGGGAGAGGUGAGUGGAAUUCCCGGUGUAGCGGUGAAAUGCGCAGAUAUCGGGAAGAACACCCGUGGCGAAGGCGGCUCUCUGGGACGGUACUGACGCUGAAAUACGAAAGCGUGGGGAGCAAACAGG